UUGUAUGAUAGAGAUUAGGGUUUUGUAUGUGUGUAAAUUGUGAUUUUCUUGAGAUGGGAACUAAUGUUGUGUAAAUUGGUUUAGAAAGAAAAAUACUACACAAACUAACAAAAUUUAUAAAUUUGUUUUACUCACUGAUAUGUAAGGUUAUAAAAAACUUUUAAAACUUGAAAUGAGAUCCAUAAGAGUAAUGCGAUAGAAACAAUUUAUAUUAGUAAAAAAAAAUGUAAUAUUUAUAGCAUUUUUGGCUUUAGAAAAUGUGAAAUGUACCUGUAAUUACUAAACACUCAUUUCACUAUUAUUUCUGCCUCAUUCACAACCCAAUGACUGAUAAUUAGUAAAAUCGUAAUUAUUUAUGGUGAUAUAAACAAAUGGGUAAAGCUUUUCCUUAUUAUUAUUAUUUUUUUGCAUUGUCCUAGUGAAAUUAUAGUGGUGAAAUUACUCGGUCCCCAUGUUCUCUUACCCCGAUGUUGCCCCGCAGUUGGGUCAGUGACUCACUGUCACCGCCACCAUUAACCAAAGAUUUUGGGUCCCCCUAGUUUUUCCAUUAGAUGCUUCUCUCAGAGUAGUUUCCAUUCUAGCAACUUUUGAUUCUAAAGCACUUCAUAAAAAAUCUGUUUUUUCCUACUUUCCUUUUCUUUGAUGGUGGAGAAAACUUUUAAUUAGCUUCUACCUCCUCCGAAAUAUAGUCACAUUACCGUUAAUGUGAUUUCAUAAACAAUGCUAACUUCCCUUUACCUUCCCUACUUUCGAAACCAUUAUUAAGAAUCUUCUCCGGAGUUAAUUUUUAUUUUCCAAAAAUUACAAACUUGUCCUUAGAUUUAGGACUUUAAUUUUUUUCUCAAUACACCCAUUGAAAUAAAUAAAUAAUUUCUUUUUUUAUCAAAAAUUAUUAUUUAUUUGUAAAUUAUUGUAUUUUUAUUAUUUAUUAAUAAGUAAUUUUUAGAAAAAGAAUUAAUCUAAAUAUUUACUUUUUAAGUAAUUUCAUAAAAAUGUACUUAAAAAAGUCUAAACUUUGUUAUUAAUAAUAUUUUUUUUAAAAAAAUAAUCUAAAUAUUUCAAUAUAGUUCUCCUAUCAAUAAUUGUUAAGUAUUGAGAUGAAAAGUAAGCGAGUAAAGCUGACGUGAUCUUUUUGAGAAAGUAAUUUACCACCAUUGGUCCUUUUAGCUUCACCAAAGUUUUAUUUGGUUCCUAAGAAUGGAUAUGUGAAUUUAUACGUCCUUUCUUGAUAUCUAAAAUAGUAACGGGUGUUGAUAGAAGAACUAUAUCGAAAUCAAAUUGAAAUGAAAAGGUUCUAAUUGUUCAAAUUUUUACUAUCCUAUUUAGUUAAUAUCUCAGUAAAGAAUAUUUUUUUUUUUUUUGUAUCCAUAAAUUGAUUGCCAAUACCACUUCAAUGUAUUAGCCCCACAACUUUGGAGUGACACAAACCAAAUUAUUCGUGUGCCGUGUAAAGCGUGGUGUGUAACCAAAGUUAAAAUUAAUGAAAUGUUCGAGAGGACAACAAAAUAAAUAAAUAAAGACUCAAAAAGCACAACUUGCAAAAGUAACACUAACUCCACAUAUUUUAUUUGUAGCUUUUGGACAUGAGUCACAAUCCAUCACAUGGACUUUUGAGGUCCCCAUUGGCAGCCUAAUGGUAAUUCAUUAUGCUUAGGCAGCUAUAGAUAUGUAAGAACAUCAUAAGCCUUGGUAACAGCUUCCUUACGCAGUUGUGUAAAAGGAAGAGAUUGAUGAAGUUUGAACCCAAAGCCGAAGUUUGAACCCAAAGUCGAAGUCUGGUAAGGCAUAUCCAUACCACUUGGCCUAAGAUGCAGCUGUUUUGUGUUAGCAAUAAAGCUGGUUGGUUGAAACAGAAUGAUCCAUAAAUGUAGCUCAUCUCAGUGUCUAACCUAAUCACUUUACGGAAUGUUGACCUAUAUUGUUAAGUGGAGAAUAUGUGCACAGCCAAAGACGGACAUAUGAUCCUGAAUUUAGAGAGGUGAAUGUACACAUAGAAUAUAGAAUUCGUAAUUUGGGCAUAAAAUACGUGAGUAAUUUCAACCUCGAGGUAACGAGAACCAACAUAAAUUACACAUAUUAAUAGUUAAUAGUACUAUAAAAAUAAUUUUUUUUGAAAACUUUAAUUGGAGUGAUGGUUGCCCCAAACGCCCUCCUUAAGUCUAUCCCUAUGCAUGCUGCUUUGGCAUUGAAAUGCAUUUUUUUGGCCAAUUACAUUUGAAAGUGAUGUUCAUCCACCUAUCAAGUGUGUGAAAAAUUUUAUUUUGAUUUGAAGUUUAUGUAAUAGAGUGAUGAUUUAAGAUUAUUUAUUUAUUUAUUGUUGGUUAAAAUAGCACUUAAAUAAAUUAAGUUAACAUGAAAAGAUAGUCAAAAGAUGCUUUCGGAUUACCUUGUUAAUCGGAGGCUUCAUGAAAUUGGAAAUUUUGGACAAAUCAUAUAAAAUUGGUAUCCCAAUAAUUACAUAACCAGAUUAAAAUUACAAAGUUCUAAUUGUUCUAAUUUU
rnacentral:lncRNA from 1 species